ACACAUUUUUGAGUGCCUAU
rnacentral:rRNA from 1 species